AGGGAGCAGAGACAGGACACCUGACCCAAACUGGCCACAGGGGUAUUCCAUAGCACAGCACGUCAUGCCCAGUACAGAAACUGGGGGGAGUCACAGGGAAGGCCCAGAUCACUGCUCGGGUUGGGCUGGGUAUCGAGUGAAAACAUCAGUUCCUGGAACAGUAGAACUGAAGCCAUGGAGCAACAAAUUCCAGCUGUUUCUCAAGGAUCAAUCCACCAUGUUUUGAGGAUGUUGAGGAGCCUUGGUGCAGUGUUUGAAUGCUUCUGGGAACAGUUGGCAUCCUAGCCAGUCUGCAUGCUGCAGGGAUGUUUCUUGCCCAAAUGUGGCACCAAUAGUGGAGUAGACACACGUGGCUGGACAUCCCAAAUACAAGAUUACUUUAGCACCAUUUCAAAGUGAUUUGUACUGUAAGAAAAUUCUGGAUAUGCUGCCACUUCAUUAGCUCUGUGCUGUGUGCUAAAGAAGAUGAGGAGAAUGACCAGGGAAAAGAGUGCAGCGUGAAGUGCUACUGUGACACUUACGUGACAGGCUUUUCAUUCAAUCCUAACUAGUGUUGACAAAUGACUUAUGUUUCUGCAGAAUAGGAAAUUCAGUCAUCAUGUUGCUUAAAUCUAUAAAGAAGAAAUAUCCUGUGGCUUAGGAGUGGAGAGAAAGAACUAAUUUGGUGAUUCUUCCACUGGAUGCAGCUUUCGGCACACUCGACAGAUACCAGUGCAUCACCUAAUCCUUGGUGUUAUGAAGUGGGCUAGAAAUGUGAAAAACCCAUUAAGAUUGGCCUGUCAUCAAGGUAGGAGUUAAAAAUCCAUUAUUAAAAUGUAUAUAUAGUUGUCAUAGAUACUAUGGGAUGUCCACAGAAACACCCAUGCUAACGAGCACCUGCAACCCAACUGUGAGAAAUAGUAGGGUUACCUUGAAAAAGAAAAGGCUACCUUGCUUAUAUAGAAAAAAAUAAAGGGCAACUUUCACCUGUCAAGAAGAAAAUCAAUAAUGUGGAAGCUCAAAUUUCUGCUUAUAGAACUGCUGUUCCAAACACUUAUUUCAAUGUACAUGUAUUUGCUGCUCUAUUAGGUGUAGAGAGCAGUUGAUUUGUGCCAGUCCUGCUCAUGAGCAUGGAAAGAGGUUUCUUAGUUUUAUGAACCAGUGAUGGGCAGCUCUUUUGGGAGGAGGUUGCUUGGUUGGUUUUCCCUUCCCGUGUUGGGGCUCCAGGCUUUUGCUCGUGCUCUGGAUACAGACAGACCUGUAUUGAUGAUGCCUUAAACUUCACCUGGAAGUUUAGGUUGGCUGUGCACGUUACAGGUUCCUACAAUCUGUUUGUCAAACCCAUCCCGUCGUGUGCGUUCAAACAUCAAAUGAAACUGGUUUCAUCUUGAAACAAAAUACAAAAAGAAAGGGAAGACCCUGCUUUUCCUGGCAAAAGGAGCUCUGGUGCUGCAGUGCCCAGCCCCAUUCCCUGCUCUGCUUGUCCACAAACCAGCAUCCUUCUGACCCACCCUUCCCUCAUUCCGGGAAACAAAUGGCAUCCACACAUGGUGCUGCACCAAAAUAGAGCAGAACUGGAAAAACCAGGUCAGUGCUGUCCAGACAAAACUCAGACUGCUCAGAUUGGUUCACUUGGGUAGAAAUAGGGAGCUCCACCUCCAUGACUGAGCCAGUUUUCUGCGUUAAAAUAGCUUUAGAGUUUGGCACAAAUCAAAGCUGAUUUUUUAAGCUUGAUAAUGGAAAGUUUGGGGGAUGCUGCUCUGGGAAAGGGCACUCCUCAGAGGCAACUGAAGAGAUGUAUGUAACCAAAUGCACCAUUUCCUUAGGCUGAGCUGUUGGGUGCAAGCAGGUGCUAAACCCCAUUUGCCUGGUUUUAAUUGGUGUGACUUGGGACAAGGUGAAUAGUGUGAACAAGCCUUUAUUUAGUUACUUCAUUGUGGUGUUCUACUGCAGGAAUGUGUUGGCAUAAAAGCAACAGCUCUGAAACCAGCUGUGCCAGGAGGUGCCAAUGUGACAGACUCAGCAAACACUGAAAGAUAAUGGAGUAUGUCCUGAGGGGCUGAUGAGCAGAGGGAUUUGGGAAAACAGUGGUUAAAAAGACAGGCAUGUGUGUGAGAGGCUGCUUAAAACUCAGCUGCAAUCCCACGUAUUGCAACAGGGCUUCUGGAAAGCCAGGAGCCACUAGCACAUUGUUUUGGAGCUUAGGAGGGAAUUAAAGGCCAAGGUCAGAUCUGCA